GUUGAAUUUCAUUUUGCUGACUUCAUCUCAUCCUGUGUGUUCCAGUGCUGGCAGACUCUGUGGGUGAAUCCAGUUUUUUGAGAGGGAAAAAAAAUCUGUGAAGAUAUGAGCAGAGGCAGUUGGACCCCUCUGCUACAGGUCCACUGGAGUUUGCUGGAGAUCCACUCCAGAUCCUGUUUGCCUGGGUAUCACCAGCGGAGGCUGCAGAACAGCAAAGAUUGCUGCCUGUUCCUUCCUCUAGAAGCUUCAUCCCAGAGGGGUACCCGCCAAACGCCAGCCAGAGCUCUCCUGUAUGAGGUCCUUGUGGUGAAGAACUGGAUUACAUGGUGGACUGUUCCUGAACAGAGACCUAUCUGGAAUGAAGAAGCAGAGAUCAUGCAAGGUGUUUCCAUCCAAAAGUAGGCGUCUCAUGUCAUCUGCUCUGGCCAGUAUUUAACCUUGAGAAAAGAAGAAGUGUAGAGAUGAUGUACUUGCCUGAGGGAUGGAUUAAAAAGUCUUUGGUCUUCUCUGAACGGUACUACUGAAUUUAUCCUCAUCACCAUCAUCAUUGUCAUUGUCAUCAUCAUCAUGAAAACAGGAGCAGAGAGAGGAAUGCUAUGAAGCUAUUAUUGUUCAAAAAAGACCUGGAGACAGUGGAUUGAAAAUCUCACAGCCAAAACGCAGUCUGGUGACUACCGUCUCUGGCUCUCAUUUGCUGACUUUGGAAGUUUUAAAAGGAACUGCGGAAUUUGUUUUCACUCAGCGUGGUACACUGGAUGAGCUGUUGCUGUCUCUAGUUUGUCCUCUUAAAUGUCACCUCCAGAAGCUGAUUAGAAAGGCUGAAAUGACCACCAUCCAAAAGACCCAGGGGCAUAUUUCAUGGUUUUAGUCUAUUUGAAAGGUUGUUAGAGUAGGUUAGGAAAGACCAAGGCCUCUAGCUCAAGGUGGCCAGCUCAUGCUGUGUAUGGACUGUACACUAUCAUGUUGUAGGCCACUAAUUUCUCAUGCCAAUCCCUCCAAGUGCCACUGGUUUCAUAUUUCUAGGCCUUUACAUGGCCCAUUCCUUCUGUUUGGAAAGUCCUUGAUGCUCAUUUUUACUUUGGCCCACCAAGCCCUGAGUGCACUGAUCUUUGCUUCCCUCCCCAGCAGCAUAUCACAACCUCUCUCCUUUUCUAAUUCGCUUUGUUUGACACCAAGCUCUUUCUGCAGUUUUUAAAACAGACUUAGCCAUUUUCUGCUUCAGGGCCUUUGCACACCCACGUCCCUCUGUCUGGAACUCUCGUACCUGGCUUUUCACGUGGUUCAUUCCUUCUUAUUGUUCAGAAACAAUCUAAUAACCUCCUCAGCAAGGACUUUCUUGAUCUCUAACGGGCCCCCUUCUUGUUCUCCCUAUCUUGGUAUCCUUCCUAGCCCUUCACAUUUUGUAAAUAUUUGUUUACCUAUUUAUUGCCUGACUUCUAACUAACUAUAAGGGCCAGUGAGACAGGAACUGUCUUAGUCUGUUUUGUGUUGCUAUAAAAGAACACCACUGAGUGGGUAAUUUAUAAAGAAAAGAAAUGCAUUUCUUACAAUUCUGGUGGAUGAGAAGUCCAAGGUUGAGGAGUCUACAUCUGGUGAGGAUUUUCAUGCUGCGUGAUCCCAUGGCAGAAGGCAGAAGGAUCUAGGUUGGUGUCUGCCUGGGUGCUGUACUGUGUCCUGGGCCUACCUCCACAUGCUGCAUCAUGGUGCCUGUUGGCAGUCCCUUUCUUCAAGAAGAUGGAACUGGAAGGGUUGGGCCAGGACAUUGGGUUGAUGGAUCAAAAUAUGCUUUGAUGGAGCUAAAUCCCAGGUCUCUUGAAAAAAGAGCAAUUUUGGAUCUGAAAGGCAGCUUUGAUGCCUUUGAAUUCCUUGCAGAUUGUGCCUUUUAGUACUCUGUACAACACCAGCUGCAUGUGGGCUACAAGAAAGAGACACGGUUGGGGGCAGUGGCUCAUGCCUGUAAUACCAGCACUUUGGGAGCCUGAGGGCAGUGGAUCACCUGAGACGGAGUCUCUCUCCGUCACCAGGUUGGAGUGCAAUGGCAUGAUCUCGACUCAUUGCAACCUUCGCCUCCCAGGUUCAAGCAAUUCUCCUGCCUCAGCAUCCUGAGUAGCUGGGACUACAGGCUGGAGUGCAGUGGCACGAUCUAGGUUCACUGCAAGCUCCGACUCCCAGGUUCAUGCCAUUCUCCUGCUUCAGCCUCCCAAGUAGUUGGGACUACAGAGUCUAGCUCUGUCACCCAGGCUGGAGUGCAGUGACACAUUCUCAGCUCACCGCAACCUCUGCCUCCCAGUAGAGACAGGGUUUGCCGUGUUGGCCAGGCUGGUCUCAAACUCCUUACCUCAAGUGAGCUGCCUGCCUUGGCCUCCCAAAGUGCUAGGAUUACAGCUCUAACCUUGGUCCAGACACCAGCUGUAUAGACUAUCAAAGCUGCUGUCAUUUAGAGGGGAAUAGCUCCUCAUUAGGCCACAGAUGCACCGCGGACCUGUUCUUCCUUUUGGGUUGGCAGGCGCAAAGCCCCAUUAGCAGUAAUGUGCACCAGUGGGACUCCAGGGAGAGGAAGAAAGCUGAAAGGGCUGGAGUUCCUGGUCCAAUUUUUAAAGAAAAGAAGAGAAUAAAAGGCCCAUAAAACUC
rnacentral:lncRNA from 1 species